GAUGAAGAACGUAGUGAAAUGCGAUAAGUAAUGCGAAUUGCAGAAUUUCCGUGAGUCAUCGAAUCUUUGAACGCACAUUGCGCCCACUGGUAUUCCGGGGGGCAUGCCUGUUCGAGCGUCAUUUCACCACUCAAGCCUCGCUUGGUAUUGGGCGACGCGGUCCGCCGCGCGCCUCAAAUCGACCGGCUGGGUCUUCCGUCCCCUCAGCGUUGUGGAAACUAUUCGCUAAAGGGUGCCGCGGGAGGUCACGCCGAAAAACAACCCCAUUUCUAAGGUUGACCUCGGAUCAGGUAGGGAUACCCGCUGAACUUAAGCAUAUCAAUAAGCGGAGGA
rnacentral:misc_RNA from 1 species